rnacentral:lncRNA from 1 species
UGUGGGAAUUUCAGUGCAGGGGUAAAAGGUUAAUUUUAUAACUCUUUCAAAAUUAUAAUUUUAUAGUAAAAAUUAUUAAUUAAUCUAAUUAAUUAACAUAUAUUAAUCCUACACAAAGAUCUAAAUAUGAUAUAUAUAUAUAUAGCAUGCAUUUAAAUUUGAAAUUUCGAAUUCUGCAGUAAAUAUUUUACUGUUAUGUGUUCAGAACACAUUACCUUCAUGCAGGUAGUCGAUCGCUACAGUCUGAUCAUCGUCAGAAAGGCCUG